AGAGUUUGAUCCUGGCUCAGGAUGAACGCUGGCGGCGUGCCUAAUACAUGCAAGUCGAACGAGUUCUCGUUGAUGAUCGGUGCUUGCACCGAGAUUCAACAUGGAACGAGUGGCGGACGGGUGAGUAACACGUGGGUAACCUGCCCUUAAGUGGGGGAUAACAUUUGGAAACAGAUGCUAAUACCGCAUAGAUCCAAGAACCGCAUGGUUCUUGGCUGAAAGAUGGCGUAAGCUAUCGCUUUUGGAUGGACCCGCGGCGUAUUAGCUAGUUGGUGAGGUAAUGGCUCACCAAGGCGAUGAUACGUAGCCGAACUGAGAGGUUGAUCGGCCACAUUGGGACUGAGACACGGCCCAAACUCCUACGGGAGGCAGCAGUAGGGAAUCUUCCACAAUGGACGCAAGUCUGAUGGAGCAACGCCGCGUGAGUGAAGAAGGCUUUCGGGUCGUAAAACUCUGUUGUUGGAGAAGAAUGGUCGGCAGAGUAACUGUUGUCGGCGUGACGGUAUCCAACCAGAAAGCCACGGCUAACUACGUGCCAGCAGCCGCGGUAAUAA
rnacentral:rRNA from 2 species